rfam:Erwinia carotovora subsp. atroseptica SCRI1043, complete genome
AUUUCUCUGAGAUGUUUGUCAGCGGGCCAGUCCCCUGAGCCGAUAUUUUAUACCAAACAGAAUGUAAUGCUCUGCGGUUGGUGCGCAAGCUCGGUUCGUCCGAGAAGCCUUAAGACUGCGACGUUAUGUUCACCUUGAACCAAGGGUUCAAGGGUUACAGCCUGCGGCGGCAUCUCGGAGAUCCC